GAUACUAUCUCACCGAUGGGAUACUAUCUCACCAAUGGCAUUUAUCCUAAGUAAGAAACACUUGUGAAGUCCAUUAAAGAGAAGAGAGGGAUGCCCUUAUCCCAAAAAGAAGCUAAUUGCACGAGGGCACAAGAAUCAGCCCGCAAAGACAUUGAGAGAGCUUUCGGUGCUUUGCAAGAAAGAUUUGCCAGUGUUCGGGGUCCAGCUCAUUUUUUGGACAAGAAAACCCUUGUGAACAUCAUGAAGUGUUGUGUCAUUCAACACAACAUGAUACUCGAGGAUGAGAGGGGGUUAAACUUGCCAUAUUUCUAUGACAAUGUUUGUACUUGUUGUGGUCCUAAGACUGAUAGUAGAAAGGGGGGGUAG
rnacentral:rRNA from 1 species